rnacentral:rRNA from 1 species
AAGUCGAACGGGAUCCAUCAGGCUUUGCUUGGUGGUGAGAGUGGCGAACGGGUGAGUAAUGCGUGACCGACCUGCCCCAUACACCGGAAUAGCUCCUGGAAACGGGUGGUAAUGCCGGAUGCUCCGACUCCUCGCAUGGGGUGUCGGGAAAGAUUUCAUCGGUAUGGGAUGGGGUCGCGUCCUAUCAGGUAGUCGGCGGGGUAACGGCCCACCGAGCCUACGACGGGUAGCCGGCCUGAGAGGGCGACCGGCCACAUUGGGACUGAGAUACGGCCCAGACUCCUACGGGAGGCAGCAGUGGGGAAUAUUGCACAAUGGGCGCAAGCCUGAUGCAGCGACGCCGCGUGCGGGAUGACGGCCUUCGGGUUGUAAACCGCUUUUGAUCGGGAGCAAGCCUUCGGGUGAGUGUACCUUUCGAAUAAGCACCGGCUAACUACGUGCCAGCAGCCGCGGUAAUACGUAGGGUGCAAGCGUUAUCCGGAAUUAUUGGGCGUAAAGGGCUCGUAGGCGGUUCGUCGCGUCCGGUGUGAAAGUCCAUCGCUUAACGGUGGAUCUGCGCCGGGUACGGGCGGGCUGGAGUGCGGUAGGGGAGACUGGAAUUCCCGGUGUAACGGUGGAAUGUGUAGAUAUCGGGAAGAACACCAAUGGCGAAGGCAGGUCUCUGGGCCGUUACUGACGCUGAGGAGCGAAAGCGUGGGGAGCGAACAGGAUUAGAUACCCUGGUAGUCCACGCCGUAAACGGUGGAUGCUGGAUGUGGGGCCCGUUCCACGGGUUCCGUGUCGGAGCUAACGCGUUAAGCAUCCCGCCUGGGGAGUACGGCCGCAAGGCUAAAACUCAAAGAAAUUGACGGGGGCCCGCACAAGCGGCGGAGCAUGCGGAUUAAUUCGAUGCAACGCGAAGAACCUUACCUGGGCUUGACAUGUUCCCGACAGCCGUAGAGAUAUGGCCUCCCUUCGGGGCGGGUUCACAGGUGGUGCAUGGUCGUCGUCAGCUCGUGUCGUGAGAUGUUGGGUUAAGUCCCGCAACGAGCGCAACCCUCGCCCUGUGUUGCCAGCACGUCAUGGUGGGAACUCACGGGGGACCGCCGGGGUCAACUCGGAGGAAGGUGGGGAUGACGUCAGAUCAUCAUGCCCCUUACGUCCAGGGCUUCACGCAUGCUACAAUGGCCGGUACAACGGGAUGCGACACGGCGACGUGGAGCGGAUCCCUGAAAACCGGUCUCAGUUCGGAUUGGAGUCUGCAACCCGACUCCAUGAAGGCGGAGUCGCUAGUAAUCGCGGAUCAGCAACGCCGCGGUGAAUGCGUUCCCGGGCCUUGUACACACCGCCCGUCAAGUCAUGAAAGUGGGUAGCACCCGAAGCCGGUGGCCUAACCCUUUGUGGAUGGAGCC